AUUGAACGCUGGCGGCAGGCCUAACACAUGCAAGUCGAACGAGUGGCGGACGGGUGAGUAAUGUAUGGGGAACUGCCCGAUGGAGGGGGAUAACUACUGGAAACGGUAGCUAAUACCGCAUACUAUCGGAUGUACCCAGAUGGGAUUAGCUAGUAGGUGGGGUAAAGGCUCACCUAGGCGACGAUCCCUAGCUGGUCUGAGAGGAUGAACAGCCACACUGGAAAUGAGACACGGCCCAGACGCCGACGGGAGGCAGCAGUGGGGAAUAUUGCACAAUGGGAGCAAGCCUGAUGCAGCCAUGCCGCGUGUAUGAAGAAGGCCUUAGGGUUGUAAAGUACUUUCAGAGGGGAGGCGUUACCAGCAGAAGAAGCACCGGCUAACUCCGUGCCAGCCGCCGCGGUAAUAC
rnacentral:rRNA from 1 species